rnacentral:rRNA from 1 species
AGAGCGAACGCUGGCGGCAGGCCUAAUACAUGCAAGUCGAACGGACCCUUCGGGGUUAGUGGCGGACGGGUGAGUAACACGUGGGAACGUGCCCUUUGGUUCGGAACAACUCAGGGAAACUUGAGCUAAUACCGAAUGUGCCCUUCGGGGGAAAGAUUUAUCGCCAUUGGAGCGGCCCGCGUCUGAUUAGCUAGUUGGUGGGGUAAAGGCUCACCAAGGCUACGAUCAGUAGCUGGUCUGAGAGGAUGAUCAGCCACACUGGGACUGAGACACGGCCCAGACUCCUACGGGAGGCAGCAGUAGGGAAUCUUGCGCAAUGGGCGAAAGCCUGACGCAGCCAUGCCGCGUGAAUGAUGAAGGUCUUAGGAUUAGUAAAAUUCUUUCAGCGGGACGAUAAUGACGGUACCGCAGAAGAACGCCCCGGCUAACUUCGCGCCAGCAGCCGC